GUUCAUUAGUGAUCAGACAUUAAUGAUACCAGAAUUUUUAUAAUUAUGGGUGUCAAAAUAAGAUAGGGGUCUAUUUAUGAACUCGUAGGUGUUCUUAUAAUUAAUACCCAAUUAAUCAAUUUAUUAGGUUCCUUAUGCUUGCGAACCAGUUAGAUUCUAUACACAUAUGAAUCUUCCCCAUAUUCGAAUAUCUGAAUGUCAGACUCAAGCUGAUGAUAUAUGAGGUAUGUGCCGUUCCCUUGGAUUAAUCCCAAUCUCUGCCUAAUUGAACAAAAAGUGUCCUUUAAUUAAUAAAGGUUAUUAAACGUUUUUUUAAUUAGGUAUGGUCCUCGCUGUAUCAAUCAAGUCCCAUUGAAAUAUUGAAACGUUGUUCAUACAUCUUUGAAUGACCUUUUAUGUGCUGACAAUAUGUUCUGAAAUGAAGAGAUUUUACCCCUGAUGAAGUCUUGGAACAAGACGAAACGCGUUGGGUUAUUUAUCUAUCUAUUAUCUGAUGUUACCUCCGAAUCUACAAUAAGGAGAAGGAGGAAAUCGUAGUGAUAUAUCUACGCUUUUUCCUCAUCACUACAAACUGAUUGUUCAAAUUGUGCGAGAAAUGUAAAUGUAUCAACUCUGUAUACUUAUGAACAUUUGUGUCGGGUUUAUAUGUUGUUUUAAUAAAUUUUUAUGUUAGUA